AAUUUCCUCGGACACCAACAAUCAGAUUUUUUUUUUCAAUUGGACGAAGACCAUUUUUAGUUUCCUUGGACACCAACAUGCAGUUAGAUUUUUUUUUCUUCUAGACCACUGUAUCUUCAUCAUCCAACUAUCAAAAGGGAAAAGAAAUUAGCAGACUGCGAUCGAGUAAGCAUCACCAGGUUAUUCUUUAAUCUCUCGAAGUUAAUUAAUUAAUGAAGAGAUAACCUGCCGGCCAAACCUAUUGACCAAUCUGAACGGAGCGCAAAGAAUCAUCAGGCUGCGGUUUCACAGAUUCGUGCCGUGUAGCUUGCUCUCUCGGACUGCCGCUAGCUAGCUAGCUUCCAGCUGGUUGAC
rnacentral:lncRNA from 1 species